rnacentral:sRNA from 1 species
UUUCGACCCGAUCAGAAACGGAGAAUGCCGGCUGAUCGCUCGGCCGGCAUCCUCCGCAACGAAC